rnacentral:rRNA from 1 species
AACGAACGCUGGCGGCGUGCCUAACACAUGCAAGUCGAGCGCGAAUGGAGCAAUCCUAGUAGAGCGGCUCACGGGUGCGUAACACGUGGGUAAUCUGCCUGGGAGAUGAGGAUAACCAGUCGAAAGAUUGGCUAAUACUCGAUAAGCCCACGGGGACUUCGGUCCCUGAGGGAAAAGGUGGCCUCUGUAUACAAGCUAUCACUUCCAGAUGAGCCCGCGGCCCAUCAGCUAGUUGGCGGGGUAAUGGCCCACCAAGGCAACGACGGGUAGCUGGUCUGAGAGGACGAUCAGCCACACUGGAACUGAGACACGGUCCAGACUCCUACGGGAGGCAGCAGUGGGAAUUUUGCGCAAUGGGCGAAAGCCUGACGCAGCAACGCCGCGUGUGUGAUGAAGGUCUUCGGAUUGUAAAGCAC